AGAAAUUUCCAACACGUGCCUUCGUUGCAUUUGGCUUGUUGAGUCAGGAUGUAAAGUGACUGUCGUUCCGUGCGGUGAUGAUGGCAAAUUUUGUGGCCCCUAUCAUAUUCAAUCUGAUUAUUGGGCUGAUGCCGGUCGUCCAGGAACUGGCUGGCGAGCUUGUGUGGACACGUUUUCGUGUGCUAAGAUUACUGUACGAGGUAUUAAUUAAACUAGGGCUUGAUUCGAUAGCUCGCCGAUUGUCAAUUUUGGGGCUGGUGUUGCCUGGGAAGAGUGCAAUCUGUUAACGUCUGUGUGUGAAAGAAAAUAAUUACAGUGGGGGGGGGGGCAAAAAUAUAAUCCCAAGUUAUCAAAUACAAAAUUCCGUGUAAAAUGCCCAAAACUCUUGUAUAGUCAAGGAAAUUCGAAAAAUUUGCAAAGAAAAUCGUCAAACCCCACAUGCACUUGAUCUUGCAUUUUCGACUAUUGUCUUACACAUUUCUUUUAAAUUAUAUUUAUUUUCCCCAUCUUUUUUGCCCAGCUUAUAAGUUUAUAAUUUGUCCAACUUUAAUUUACAUGACUGAAUGCUCUGAAUUGUAGAUACUUGGAAUACCCAAACAAUAAACGCGAUUUCUUCACAACUCCCACAAAUAACGUGCCUUAUUAUUUGCGUAUUUUUUUCUCACACAGCAGUUCAAAAUGAUCAGUUUAUUUAUUAAUAAUAUAAAUUUAAUUAUUGUGCAUUUAAAAAUUAUUUAAAGCAAAAGCAUUUUCUUUUUGGCACAACUAAAUAUUAGUAUUACGGAUUACGUAAACCAUCUCGGUUUUUAUUGGUUGCUGGCCUGCAGCUGAUAAUUCUUGAUAUCGUGUAAUCACACCUGCAGAUCAUAGUUUUUUGCCUGUACAGAUAACGUCAAUUUUACAAAAAGUUUUAUUACAUAAGCAAACGCGAUUAGUUUCUACAAAUGAAGAAAAAUAAAGCAAUGGCGAGGUUCGCAACAGUAACGGAACGUGACUUGCAAAAAUCUUUGGAAAAGAAAAAUGCAACAAAUACCAAAAAAGCGACAAAAUGAGUACUAAAAUUUUCAACACGUAUAUUCAGUGAGAGAGAAAAAACGACGUUGUUUCUCAACUAUUUAAAGGAAGUUAUGUACAAUUAUUUAAGGUCAUGCUUUUGUAAAACCGUUGAGUGUUCUAUGAAAGACCUAACCUUUUACUGUCAUUAAAAUGGUUUACAAAGAAUUGUCUCUGUAUGUCGUUAUAGUAUUCGUUGUUAUAUUAUUUCUUUUAUAUGCGUAAUAAAAUUAUAAUUAUUGAAAUCGGUUUUUGCGUGACAUUUAACAAUUAUUCACAGAAGGUGAGGUGAUUUAUCUGGGAUUAGUAUAAAUUUUGCAUAUCAAAUGAGCUUUCGCGCGUUCUGAUUGGCUAGCUGACCAGAAAAUCUGAGCCAUUAUUUACCACCUGGGUAGUAAAUAAUGCUUUUCAAAAAGAAUGAUUCGGCAAAUUUGGUUUCAAAUCGACAAAAUAUUUAAAAAAUUGUCCCCAGAAAACGAAAGAAGCACAAAAUGUUGUAUUUAGCUUGAAAGGUAGGAUUCCUUUAUUAUUUUACUGUGUUAAACAUAUUCACGGAAAAUUUAAAACUUAUUUAAAACUCUGAAACAUUCACUUCAAACAAAUAUCCAUCCCGACUUUUGGGAAAAACCUUGCUAUAGAUUUCCCAAUUUGUACGAUACUAUUUCUUUUGAUAUGUUAUGUUUUCAUUGUGCUGUAUGGUGUUCUGACCGCUGUAUUGUGUUUUCGAAACAUGUAAAGUAACAAGUGUUUAUAUUAAAACUUUAUUUCGAAAGAUAUAGUUUUACAUUUCAUUUUACCAAAUUCCUAAGCCACUUCCUAAAGAAAGUAAUGCUAAACAGAGACUUUUUUUAAUGGUAAGUCUGGUGAAAGAGUCAUUCCGUCAUUGUGUUUAUAUUCCAUGCAGAAAUCGAGAAAAACAACUUUGUAAUAAAGCCAUUUUGUAUGACUUUAUUAUAAGUUACACAAGAAGCCAUUUUGAAAGCAUGUGCGUACAAGAAACAGUGCAACACUAUUAGUGAACAGACCGAAAACAGUUUUAUUUCUGAAAUUUAAUUGAACUGAUAUUCGAAUAUUUUGUUUUAUUCAUUAAAAAUUUAUACUAAAAAAAUUAUUCGCCUCAGGCUCAGUGAUUACGGUGAAUAUUCACCUCGACUUCGUCUCGGUGAAUAUUCAUCGGUAAUAUAUCACUUCGUCUUCGGCGAAUAAUUGUUAAAUAUUCGCCGAAACAAAGUCGAGGUGAAUAUUCCCCGAUAAUCACCAAGCCUGACGCGAAUAAUUGUUUUAGUUUUAUUCCCUUUGCUUUGUAACUUUCACAAAAUGGCUUGGCCGCCAUUUUGAAAACUUCGGUUUUGUUAUAUUCACCUGUAGGCAGGGACGUCGGAACUGGGGAGGGGGAGGGGCAGCCGCUCCCGUUGAACUUUACUAGAAGGGGCAAGGGGGCGCAAAGGUGCCCUUUUAAUUUAAAGGAUUGCCUUGGCGAAAUAGCAAAUUGUCAGAAAUGUUAGUGCAAUUUUUUUAUGAAUUUGCUUCAGAAAACGCAAGAAAUGCAGUCAUUGAGCUUCAAGAAUAGCACAAUCGCCUUGCGGAGACCCCCCUCACACUCCUACCAUCCAAUUAUAAAUCGAAACAUGAUUAGGAAAAGUUCAACUCCGGAUGUUUUGCAAACAUCUUUUAGUAUAUAUCAAUUCACGAAAAUCUGCCUCCCUUGCCUUAACAUCGUUCCGGCAUUCCUGCCUGUAGGUGAAUAUACUAAGCUGUUAUAUUCACCUACAGCCGUACAGGUGAAUAUAACAAAACCAAAAUUUUCAAAAUGGCGGCUAGCCGUUUUGUGGACGUUACACUGAUAAAGAAUCAAGCGAAAUUAAAAUAAAUUCAGUCCCAAAAACACAAAAAUACUAAACUACAUUUAUUCGCAUCGGGCUCGCUGAUUAUCGAGGAAUAUUCACCUCGACUUCGUCUCGGCGAAUAUUUUCCGAUAAUCACCUCGCCUUCGGCGAAUAAUUGCUAAUUAAUACUUGAAGUUUGAGCAAUCAACUUGUAGGAUUUGUUAUGUUCACUUGCCAAAAAUACAAACAAGAAUUAUCAAGGUCUUGGUUUGUGUUAUCUGCCCUCAGCCUGCGGCUCCAGCCUCAACACCGGCCUUGGUAAUUCUUGAUAUCACUGGCCAACCCUAUCCAAUAAUUAUUAAUUAUUAUAUAUUCAAAGACUAUUCUCGUUUGUGAUGGUUAAAACGCGUCGGGCAGUUCAGUUGCGUAUCUUGAAGCCGUCGCAUUGUUUCAGCAGCAGACGCCAUCAGGGUGCGAUAAUACUUUCAGCUUGCAAUAAUACUUUUUUGGACGAAGUUCCGCCUCAAAAAAGUAUUAUUGCACGGUGUGGUUACCAAGCUCCGGCGCGGUCCAUUGUUUGCUAAAAAGCGCGGAAAUUUCAUAUUUUUAAAAGCGUAAACAAAAAAUGGCUUUGCGUUUUUUAGCUUUUGAAUAUAUAAUAAAACAAUUAUUGAAUUCUGUUUUCGUAUGAUAUCGUGAAUUAUCAAGGCCUUGGUUUGUGUUAUCCACCUCAGCCUUUGCUUUCUUUGGAUAACUCAAAUUUCGGCCUUGAUAAUUUUCGAUAUCAUACUCAACCUCAUUUAUUAAUUGUUUAUUAUGUUUUGUUCUGGGUUUUUUUUUAUAAAGCAUACAUGAACCGUUAUGCAACAUUUAAAGUUCUUGGGCGCAAUGCAACUUGUCAAGAUUAUGCAAGGAUCCACAACGGGGGACCAAAUGGUUACAAAAUAUCUUCAACGGUUCGUUAUUGGAGAAAAAUUCAAAAACGCGGCUGCAAUAAUUUUAGUUAGCUGGAUAUUACGCAUUUUCCGUGUUGCGUGCAUGGGAACUAACUUAUAAUAUAUGCCGAUUGUAGUUUUUGAAAUACAAGUGUUAAUUAAUUAGUGCAG
rnacentral:lncRNA from 1 species